rnacentral:rRNA from 1 species
AGGACGAACGCUGGCGGCGUGCCUAACACAUGCAAGUCGAGCGGAGAUUAUAGCAAUAUAAUCUUAGCGGCGGACGGGUGAGUAACGCGUGGGCAACCUGCCUUUCACAGGGGGAUAACACAGGGAAACUUGUGCUAAUACCGCAUAAGAUCAUAGGAGGACAUCCUCCAGUGACCAAAGGAGCAAUCCGGUGAGAGAUGGGCCCGCGUCCAAUUAGCUAGUUGGUGGUGUAACGGACCACCAAGGCGACGAUUGGUAGCCGAACUGAGAGGUUGAUCGGCCACAUUGGGACUGAGAUACGGCCCAGACUCCUACGGGAGGCAGCAGUGGGGAAUAUUGCGCAAUGGGGGGAACCCUGACGCAGCAACGCCGCGUGAAGGAUGAAGGUUUUCGGAUCGUAAACUUCUUUGAUGAGGGACGAAAGAAAUGACGGUACCUCAAAAACAAGCCACGGCUAACUACGUGCCAGCCGCCGC